CGGAGCCAGAGAGCAGCGAUUGGUCAGCCCAUAGAUAUAUGGUCGGCACAUCUGGUGGCGUCUCUGGCUGCUGUUGACCUUGUUUUUGGAGUAAAACACGGUGGAAGCUGAAUUAGUGAGGAUGACUCCUGCUCCUGUCAUCUCUAAGCUCCUCACACAUCUUUAUCUGCACAUGAGGAAAAUCACUCCUGUAGAAUGCAGAUGUUCAGAGGGAGACGAUGCCACAUCUGGUCCAGCUGAUGGAAGGUCUUGAAGUUCUCUGACUGGCCUCGACUGAAGAUGGUCGUCUCACUGGAUUUAAGGUUCAGAUGCUCAGUAACAAACUCCACCAAUGAGCCAACAGGGAAGCUUUAGGUUUAUUAAAUGUUGCUAUGAAGGUUUCGCUGUUUUUCUUUGUGAAUGCAAUGUGCUCCAACUGAAAGUUGAAUUAGAACUUAGAAGUAAAUCCUUCCAUCUGAAAGGAUCUAGUUGCAUUAAUAACCUCAUAACAUUUUAAUUUUUAUUCCAGUCUUGGUUGAAAAUAGAAUCUCUGUAUUGAUUCAGGUAAAAACUGAACUUCACAGCAUGUUGGAGCAAAACAACCAGAUGAAAACUGUGAUGGUGUUGGAUUGUCAGACCGUAAUGUUGCAGCUCAAAGCAGCUUUUUCUAGCUCAGUUCAUUCUGACAUUCAGCUAUGAAUCAACACAGCAGAUGGUGAUCCAUGCUGUGGAAGUCUCACAUCUCCUGAUUUAAUGGAGCUGCUUUGCAAUUUUUACACUGUUUAUUCACCAACACUUUAUUUAAUAAAAGUCCCAUCUAGUUUUUAUGAGGAAUGUGAUGUUUUAAUUUCUCUGUGAAUAACUGCAGUCUAAUGCAACAGCUGGAAUUGUAACAUCUGUCCUGAUAUUGAUCAUGAAGUAUUGAUCAGAAUACUUAUGGUUAGCAGUCAUCCCUGAAGUUUUACAUUAAAAUCUUUACUUGUGUUGUGAACUUUGGUAAGAAGCAGAAACUUUUGCGUUGCCAUGGAUACAUGAGUGUUAAAUUCUGUCCAUGUUUCCAUUUUGGGAAAUGCAGUCCAGUUCCAGAAUGUGGAGGAAUUUAGUCUCACAAUCACAGACAACAAAUAUUAUCUGAAAGUCCGGUUAUUGUUGUUUAUCAGCACAAUACAAAAAGAUUAAUGUUAGAAAUAUUCCAGUUAAGACUCUAGAAUAUCAUGAUUUAUGUAAAUUUACCUCAAUAAUAUAAAUGUUCAGGUUAAGAUUGUGCAGUGAUAUUUAUUAUGUAAGUUUAGCUGAUUAACGUUUAUGACUCUGCACUAAAAUAUUAUUUAAAUUGACAUCAUUAUUAUAAUAUUUAGGGUCAGACCCUACAGUAUUGAGAUUAAGAAAUCAAAUAUUCUAUAAAAUGUAAAUACACUGAACUCAUUUGGAUAUAUUUAAAUGAGACUCUACAAUAUUAUUUGACACAAAUCUAUCUAAAUCAAAAUUUUAAUCAUUUUUACUCCAAACAUUUACUGGACUGAUUUAAAUAUUAAAAUCACUCCUUUCUAAUCCUCUGCUGUACGUUCAAACCUGAGGCCUUAAAUAGAAACACACAAGUAUCUGUUUGAAGGAACUUCUGUAGAGUCCUGGUUCCAGAACAUGAUGAUAGAAUUAUAGACAAACUUUAACAAAAGCUGCCUGAGAGUUUACAGGUUUUUGUGUUGGAUUUCUUCAGUAAUUUAAUGAGAGUUAUCAGCAAUAAUCAAGUGUUCAUUUGAUGAACUUCAUUUCCUAAAACAUCCAGAAUUGGAGCUCAUAUCUUUGGCAGCUGUAAAGUUUCUGCUCCUUCAAAGUUCACAACACAAUGAAGUAAUUCCUAAAACACUCUCAAUGCUGGAGAGCGUUUGUGAUGCUGAAGCAGUGAUCAGUUUUUCUGUUUCUUCUCUGGAGAUGCACAAUGAGGGACGUCUGCAGAGACUGAGAAAGAGUCUCACCACAUCCUGACAUGAGGAAAAAGACUUUAUUGAAGACUACAAUGAGAAAAACUAUCAGACAGCAGACGGCUGCAUUCAAGGUGAGCUCUGAACAUUUGAUCUGGAACAGGAAUUCAAUAACUGCAGCAUGAGCUUCAUUUUAGUCUGUAGCUGCUGAAUUCAUGGAUGAAUCAUCUGGCACUAGAGAGGAAGACCAUCAAACAUCCACGUCAGCUGAUGGAGGUCCAAGAGUCUCACCAAGCAAACAACCUACAGAGUGAAGACCUCUAACCUGAUUGGACGGCCUCCUAUUCAGCCACAUGUGUGAAGAAAUGCCUCCAAGUUGAUUCGUUUUCUAAAAUAAAUCCAGUUUGAGUCCUAA